rnacentral:rRNA from 1 species
CCCUGACUCUGGGAUAAGCCCGGGAAACUGGGUCUAAUACCGGAUACGACCGCCUCCGGCAUCGGGUGGUGGUGGAAAGUUUUUCGGUUGGGGAUGGGCUCGCGGCCUAUCAGCUUGUUGGUGGGGUAGUGGCCUACCAAGGCGACGACGGGUAGCCGGCCUGAGAGGGCGACCGGCCACACUGGGACUGAGACACGGCCCAGACUCCUACGGGAGGCAGCAGUGGGGAAUAUUGCGCAAUGGGCGGAAGCCUGACGCAGCGACGCCGCGUGGGGGAUGACGGCCUUCGGGUUGUAAACCUCUUUCAGCAGGGACGAAGUUGACGUGUACCUGCAGAAGAAGCGCCGGCUAACUACGUGCCAGCAGCCGCGGUAAUACGUAGGGCGCAAGCGUUGUCCGGAAUUAUUGGGCGUAAAGAGCUCGUAGGUGGCUUGUCGCGUCGGAUGUGAAAGCCCGCAGCUUAACUGCGGGUCUGCAUUUGAUACGGGCAGGCUAGAGGUAGGUAGGGGAGAACGGAAUUCCUGGUGUAGCGGUGA